rfam:Ictidomys tridecemlineatus contig080452, whole genome shotgun sequence.
GGGGUUGUAGCUCAGUGGUAGAGCAUUUGCCUAGCAUGCAUGAGGCACUGGGUUCAAUUCUGAGCACCA